rnacentral:rRNA from 1 species
CGGCGAGUGAAGCGGCAACAGCUCAAAUUUGAAAGCUGGCCCUUUUAGGGUCCGCGUUGUAAUUUGUAGAGGAUGAUUCGGCGAGGGCUCCUGCCUAAGUCCCCUGGAACGGGGCGUCAUAGAGGGUGAGAAUCCCGUAUGCGGUAGGUUGCCUUAGCCGUGUGAAUCUCCUUCGACGAGUCGAGUUGUUUGGGAAUGCAGCUCUAAAUGGGAGGUAAAUUUCUUCUAAAGCUAAAUACCGGCCAGAGACCGAUAGCGCACAAGUAGAGUGAUCGAAAGAUGAAAAGCACUUUGGAAAGAGAGUUAAAAAGUACGUGAAAUUGUUGAAAGGGAAGCGCUUGCAACCAGACUUGUCCGCAGUUGCUCAGCCGGUCUCCUGACCGGCGUACUCUUCUGCGGCCAGGCCAGCAUCAGUUCGGGCGGUCGGAUAAAGGCCUCGGGAAUGUAGCUCCUCUCGGGGAGUGUUAUAGCCCGGGGUGGAAUGCGGCCAGCCUGGACUGAGGAUCUCGCUUCGGCAAGGAUGCUGGCGUAAUGGUUGUAAGCGGCCCGUCUUGAAACACGGACCAAGGAGUCUAACAUCUAUGCGAGUGUUCGGGUGUCAAACCCGUACGCGUAAUGAAAGUGAACGGAGGUGGGAACCCGCAAGGGUGCACCAUCGGCCGAUCCUGAUGUCUUCGGAUGGAUUUGAGCAAGAGCAUAGCUGUUGGGACCCGAAAGAUGGUGAACUAUGCCUGAAUAGGGUGAAGCCAGAGGAAACUCUGGUGGAGGCUCGCAGCGGUUCUGACGUGCAAAUCGAUCGUCAAAUUUGGGUAUAGGGGCGAAAGACUAAUCGAACCAUCU